rnacentral:rRNA from 1 species
CACGUAGGGGACGAGCGUUGUCCGGAUUUAUUGGGCGUAAAGAGCUCGUAGGCGGCUUGUCGCGUCGUCUGUGAAAACCCGCGGCUCAACGGCGGGCUUGCAGUCGAUACGGGCAGGCUGGAGUUCGGUAGGGGAGACUGGAAUUCCUGGUGUAGCGGUGAAAUGCGCAGAUAUCAGGAGGAACACCGGUGGCGAAGGCGGAUCUCUGGGCCUUACCUGACGCUGAGGCGCGAAAGCUAGGGGAGCGAACAGG